rnacentral:rRNA from 1 species
UAGGGAAUCUUCCGCAAUGGACGCAAGUCUGACGGAGCAACGCCGCGUGAGUGAAGAAGGAUUUCGGUUCGUAAAACUCUGUUGUUAGAGAAGAACAGCGCAUAGAGUAACUGUUAUGCGUGUGACGGUAUCUAACCAGAAAGCCACGGCUAACUACGUGCCAGCAGCCGCGGUAAUACGUAGGUGGCAAGCGUUGUCCGGAUUUAUUGGGCGUAAAGCGAGCGCAGGCGGUCAAUUAAGUCUGAUGUGAAAGCCCCCGGCUCAACCGCGGAGGGUCAUUGGAAACUGGUUGACUUGAGUGCAGAAGAGGAGAGUGGAAUUCCAUGUGUAGCGGUGAAAUGCGUAGAUAUAUGGAGGAACACCAGUGGCGAAGGCGACUCUCUGGUCUGUAACUGACGCUGAGGCUCGAAAGCGUGGGUAGCAAACAGG